AGUGGGAUAGCUGGGUCAAAUGGUGAUUCCAUUCCCAUGUUUCCAAGGAAUAUUCAUACUGCUUUCCACAUUGGCUGCACCAAUUUGCAGUCCCACCAGCAAU
rnacentral:pre_miRNA from 1 species